rfam:Otolemur garnettii contig175292, whole genome shotgun sequence.
GCUGGGUGUGAUGGCGUGUGCCUGUAGUCCCAGCUACUCAGGAGGCUGAGACAGAAGGAUCACUUGAGUCCAGGAGGUCUGGGCUGUAGUGCACUAUGCCGAUCGGGUGUCCGCACUAAGUUUGGCAUCAAUAUGGUGACCUCCCGGGAGCAGGGAGGCCACCAGGUUGCCUAAAGAGGAGUGAACUGGCCCAGGUCAGAAACGGAGCAGGUUAAAUCUCCCGUGCUGAUCAGUAGUGGGAUCAUGCCUGUGAAUAGCCACUACGCUUCAGCCUGGGCAACAUAGUGAGACCCCCAUCUCU